rnacentral:lncRNA from 9 species
GUCGUAAUGAGGCCAUGUCUAGACAGUAUUGAUCUCCUACCAGAAAAAAAUAAUUCAGAGUGUGACUUCUUUUCAAGCUUAAUCCAAAUGACACCCCAAUCGGGAUCAUUCAAUCACACAUUACCAACACUUCUCCAACUAAGCAGCCAAGGACACGUACAGACUUCUUCGCAAGGUUUGGAAGAUGUAUUGACUAUGAUUGUUUCAGGUGCACGUAACUGCAACUUAACCAACAGCCCAACAGUGAUUUAAACUCAGAGAAUUUUCUUUUCUGUUAUCCUUUAUUUUUAUUUUUUCAUGUAAUAAAAACGUUUGAAGAAGCUACUAGAGCCCACCCAGGCAUACAGCUAGACACAUUUGCCAGCUCUGAUACAGCUAUGUGGGUUGAAGUGACUGAGUUCCGAUCAAUGGAAUAUGGC